rnacentral:rRNA from 1 species
UACGUAGGGGGCAAGCGUUGUCCGGAUUUAUUGGGCGUAAAGAGCGUGUAGGCGGUUAGGUAGGUCCGUUGUGAAAACUCGAGGCUCAACCUCGAGACGCCGAUGGAAACCAUCAGACUAGAGUCCGGAAGAGGAGAGUGGAAUUCCUGGUGUAGCGGUGAAAUGCGCAGAGAUCGGGAGGAACACCCGUAGCGAAGGCGGCACUCUGGGCCGGUACUGACGCUGAGGAGCGAAAGCGUGGGGAGCAAACAGG